AUUGAACGCUGGCGGCAGGCCUAACACAUGCAAGUCGAUCGAGCGGCGGACGGGUGAGUAAUGUAUGGGGAUCUGCCCGAUGGAGGGGGAUAACUACUGGAAACGGUAGCUAAUACCGCAUACUAUCGGAUGUACCCAUAUGGGAUUAGCGAGUCGGUGGGGUAAAGGCUCACCUGGGCGACGAUCUCUAGCUUGUCUGAGAGGAUGAUCAGCAACACGUGAACUGAGACACGGUCAAGACUCCUACGGGAGGCAGCAGGGGGGAAUAUUGCACAAUGGGCGCAAGCCGGAUGCAGCCAUGCCGCGUGUAUGAAGAAGGCCUUAGGGUUGUAAAGGACUUUCAGCGGGGAGGCGUUACCCGCAGAAGAAGCACCGGCUAACUCCGUGCCAGCAGCCGCGGUAAUAC
rnacentral:rRNA from 1 species